rnacentral:rRNA from 1 species
UGGGGAAUCUUGCGCAAUGGGCGAAAGCCUGACGCAGCGACGCCGCGUGAGGGAUGACGGCCUUCGGGUUGUAAACCUCUUUCAGCCCUGACGAAGCGAAAGUGACGGUAGGGGCAGAAGAAGCACCGGCCAACUACGUGCCAGCAGCCGCGGUAAUACGUAGGGUGCAAGCGUUGUCCGGAAUUAUUGGGCGUAAAGAGCUCGUAGGCGGUCUGUCGCGUCGGGCUGUGAAAACUCGGGGCUCAACUCCGAGCUUGCAGUCGAUACGGGCAGGCUAGAGUUCGGCAGGGGAGACUGGAAUUCCUGGUGUAGCGGUGAAAUGCGCAGAUAUCAGGAGGAACACCGGUGGCGAAGGCGGGUCUCUGGGCCGAUACUGACGCUGAGGAGCGAAAGCGUGGGGAGCGAACAGGAUUAGAUACCCUGGUAGUCCACGCCGUAAACGUUGGGCGCUAGGUGUGGGAUCCCUUCCACGGGUUCCGUGCCGCAGCUAACGCAUUAAGCGCCCCGCCUGGGGAGUAC